CUACAGGCUUAACACAUGCAAGUCGAGGGGUAACGAAAGGGAAGCUUGCUUUCCUUGUCGACGACCGGCGCACGGGUGAGUAACGCGUAUCCAACCUGCCCACCACUUGGGGAUAACCUUGCGAAAGUAAGACUAAUACCCAAUGAUAUCUCUAGAAGACAUCUGAAAGGGAUUAAAGAUUUAUCGGUGAUGGAUGGGGAUGCGUCUGAUUAGCUUGUUGGCGGGGUAACGGCCCACCAAGGCGACGAUCAGUAGGGGUUCUGAGAGGAAGGUCCCCCACAUUGGAACUGAGACACGGUCCAAACUCCUACGGGAGGCAGCAGUGAGGAAUAUUGGUCAAUGGGCGAGAGCCUGAACCAGCCAAGUAGCGUGCAGGAUGACGGCCCUAUGGGUUGUAAACUGCUUUUAUAAGGGAAUAAAGUGAGUCUCGUGAGAUUUUUUGCAUGUACCUUAUGAAUAAGGACCGGCUAAUUCCGUGCCAGCAGCCGCGGUAAUACGGAAGGUCCGGGCGUUAUCCGGAUUUAUUGGGUUUAAAGGGAGCGUAGGCCGGAGAUUAAGCGUGUUGUGAAAUGUAGAUGCUCAACAUCUGCACUGCAGCGCGAACUGGUUUCCUUGAGUACGCACAAAGUGGGCGGAAUUCGUGGUGUAGCGGUGAAAUGCUUAGAUAUCACGAAGAACUCCGAUUG
rnacentral:rRNA from 1 species